GCGAGUGUAGUGUAACGGUAGCACGCAGGCCUUCAGAGCCUGAUAAUCGGCGUCCAACCGAGUGGUGCGGGUUCGAAUCCCGUCACUCGCUCCA
rnacentral:tRNA from 1 species